rnacentral:rRNA from 1 species
AGAGUUUGAUCAUGGCUCAGAUUGAACGCUGGCGGCAGGCCUAACACAUGCAAGUCGAACGGUAACAGGAAACAGCUUGCUGUUUCGCUGACGAGUGGCGGACGGGUGAGUAAUGUCUGGGAAACUGCCUGAUGGGGGGGGAUAACUACUGGAAACGGUAGCUAAUACCGCAUAACGUCGCAAGACCAAAGAGGGGGACCUUCGGGCCUCUUGCCAUCGGAUGUGCCCAGAUGGGAUUAGCUUGUUGGUGGGGUAACGGCUCACCAAGGCGACGAUCCCUAGCUGGUCUGAGAGGAUGACCAGCCACACUGGAACUGAGACACGGUCCAGACUCCUACGGGAGGCAGCAGUGGGGAAUAUUGCACAAUGGGCGCAAGCCUGAUGCAGCCAUGCCGCGUGUAUGAAGAAGGCCUUCGGGUUGUAAAGUACUUUCAGCGGGGAGGAAGGGAGUAAAGUUAAUACCUUUGCUCAUUGACGUUACCCGCAGAAGAAGCACCGGCUAACUCCGUGCCAGCAGCCGCGGUAAUACGGAGGGUGCAAGCGUUAAUCGGAAUUACUGGGCGUAAAGCGCACGCAGGCGGUUUGUUAAGUCAGAUGUGAAAUCCCCGGGCUCAACCUGGGAACUGCAUCUGAUACUGGCAAGCUUGAGUCUCGUAGAGGGGGGUAGAAUUCCAGGUGUAGCGGUGAAAUGCGUAGAGAUCUGGAGGAAUACCGGUGGCGAAGGCGGCCCCCUGGACGAAGACUGACGCUCAGGUGCGAAAGCGUGGGGAGCAAACAGGAUUAGAUACCCUGGUAGUCCACGCCGUAAACGAUGUCGACUUGGAGGUUGUGCCCUUGAGGCGUGGCUUCCGGAGCUAACGCGUUAAGUCGACCGCCUGGGGAGUACGGCCGCAAGGUUAAAACUCAAAUGAAUUGACGGGGGCCCGCACAAGCGGUGGAGCAUGUGGUUUAAUUCGAUGCAACGCGAAGAACCUUACCUGGUCUUGACAUCCACAGAACUUUCCAGAGAUGGAUUGGUGCCUUCGGGAGCUGUGAGACAGGUGCUGCAUGGCUGUCGUCAGCUCGUGUUGUGAAAUGUUGGGUUAAGUCCCGCAACGAGCGCAACCCUUAUCCUUUGUUGCCAGCGGUCCGGCCGGGAACUCAAAGGAGACUGCCAGUGAUAAACUGGAGGAAGGUGGGGAUGACGUCAAGUCAUCAUGGCCCUUACGACCAGGGCUACACACGUGCUACAAUGGCGCAUACAAAGAGAAGCGACCUCGCGAGAGCAAGCGGACCUCAUAAAGUGCGUCGUAGUCCGGAUUGGAGUCUGCAACUCGACUCCAUGAAGUCGGAAUCGCUAGUAAUCGUGGAUCAGAAUGCCACGGUGAAUACGUUCCCGGGCCUUGUACACACCGCCCGUCACACCAUGGGAGUGGGUUGCAAAAGAAGUAGGUAGCUUAACCUUCGGGAGGGCGCUUACCACUUUGUGAUUCAUGACUGGGGUGAAGUCGUAACAAGGUAACCGUAGGGGAACCUGCGGUUGGAUCACCU